CCUACGGGCGGCUGCAGUGAGGAAUAUUGGUCAAUGGACGAGAGUCUGAACCAGCCAAGUAGCGUGAAGGAUGACUGCCCUAUGGGUUGUAAACUUCUUUUAUAUGGGAAUAAAAUGUUCCACGUGUGGGAUUUUGUAUGUACCAUAUGAAUAAGGAUCGGCUAACUCCGUGCCAGCAGCCGCGGUAAUACGGAGGAUCCGAGCGUUAUCCGGAUUUAUUGGGUUUAAAGGGAGCGUAGGUGGAUUGUUAAGUCAGUUGUGAAAGUUUGCGGCUCAACCGUAAAAUUGCAGUUGAAACUGGCAGUCUUGAGUACAGUAGAGGUGUGCGGAAUUCGUGGUGUAGCGGUGAAAUGCUUAGAUAUCACGAAGAACUCCGAUUGCGAAGGCAGCUCACUGGACUGCAACUGACACUGAAGCACGAAAGCGUGGGGAUCAAACAGGAUUAGAUACCCCUGUAGUC
rnacentral:rRNA from 1 species